GGAGGAGUGGCCGAGUGGCUGAAGGCACCGGUCUUGAAAACCGGCGACGGGAAACCGUUCCAGAGUUCGAAUCUCUGCUCCUCCGCCA
rnacentral:tRNA from 1 species